rnacentral:rRNA from 1 species
GAAUUCGCCCUGAGAGUUUCAUUAUGGGUCAGGACGAACGCUGGCGGCGUGCUUAACACAUGCAAGUCGAGCGGGGAUUAAUUGCGGAAGGCUUCGGCCGGAAGCGGUUAAUUCUAGCGGCGGACGGGUGAGUAACGCGUGAGCAAUCUGUCCUACACAGGGGGAUAACACUUGGAAACAGGUGCUAAUACCGCAUAAGACCACGAGGUCGCAUGGCCAUGGGGUAAAAGAUUUAUCGGUGUAGGGUGAGCUCGCGUCCCAUUAGCUAGUUGGUGAGGUAACGGCCCACCAAGGCGACGAUGGGUAGCCGACCUGAGAGGGUGAUCGGCCACAUUGGAACUGAGACACGGUCCAGACUCCUACGGGAGGCAGCAGUGGGGAAUAUUGGGCAAUGGGCGCAAGCCUGACCCAGCAACGCCGCGUGAAGGAAGAAGGUUUUCGGAUUGUAAACUUCUGUCCUAAGUGGCGAAGGAAGUGACGGUAGCUUAGGAGGAAGCCCCGGCUAACUACGUGCCAGCAGCCGCGGUAAUACGUAGGGGGCGAGCGUUGUCCGGAAUGACUGGGCGUAAAGGGCGUGUAGGCGGCUUUUUAAGUGUGAAGUGAAAGUCCUGCUUUCAAGGUGGGAACUGCUUUGCAAACUGGAAAGCUUGAGUGCGGAAGAGGUAAGUGGAAUUCCCAGUGUAGCGGUGAAAUGCGUAGAGAUUGGGAGGAACACCAGUGGCGAAGGCGACUUACUGGGCCGCAACUGACGCUGAGGCGCGAAAGCGUGGGGAGCGAACAGGAUUAGAUACCCUGGUAGUCCACGCUGUAAACGAUGAAU